AAGAAGCAAAGCCGCGAGGUAGAGCAAAUCUCAAAAAAACAAUCUCAGUUCAGACUGCAGGCUGCAACUCGCCUGCACGAAGUCGGAAUUGCUAGUAAUCGUAGGUCAGCAUACUACGGUGAAUACGUUCCCGGGCCUUGUACACACCGCCCGUCAAACCAUGAGAGUUGGCAACACCCGAAGUCGGUAGUCUAACGAAAGAGGACGUCGUCGAAGGUGGGAUUGAUGACUGGGGUGAAGUCGUAACAAGGUAGC
rnacentral:rRNA from 1 species